GAAAGUUGUACUGAUUUCAUUCAACUUACCAAUAUUUUCAGUUUCCCCAGACCUUCACCCAGUGUAUCCUUUUAAUGAGAACUUAUUAAACGUUUUGGGGAGUCUCUUGCCAGAAUCAUCAGUCUUUUUACCUUACCUCUUCUCCCUUUCAGAAUCUACAGAGGAAAUUUCCCUCAUCUCAUGUAUAGGUCCAGGGUAAAACCUUAGAACUUAGGGAUAUGGGGAAGGACUGCUGCAGCUGCUGCCAAGUCACGCCAGUCGUGUCCGACCCUGUGCAACCCCAUAGACGGCAGCCCACCAGGCUCCCCCGUCCCUGGGAUUCUCCAGGCAAGAACACUGGAGUGGGUUGCCAUUUCCUUCUCCAGCGCAUGAAAGUGAAAAGUGAAAGUGAAGGCACUCAGUCGUGUCCGACUCUUCGCGACCCCAUGGACUGUAGCCCGCCAGGCUCCGCCGUCCAUGGGAUUUUCCAGGCAAGAGUAGUGGAACGGGGUGCCAUUGCCUUCUCCUGGGGCAGGACUAGCAGGGCCAAAAAACGGACAAGGCCCUGUAUUUGUCAGCAUAGGACAAAGGGCUGCUCCGGGACCCACCGUGAUGAAGGCUGCGCUGCUCCUUUGCUGUGUCUUGCUGUCCCCAGUGGCUGCCUUCCCAAGAAACGCCCCGGGAGGGGCCCUGACCUUCCAGCAGCCUAUCUCAGAAAUUGGGCAUCCUCUGAACCUGCUCUCCAACCAGAUCCCUCUCCCAGAUCCUAAAACCUGCCAGCAUCUCUUGUAUGUGGCCCCCUCCCCCCUCCUUAGCCCCUCUGCUUGAGCAUCUAUCCAACUCAGCUUUGGAGGUGGUCCUGGAAGAGGCUGGUUGCACAAGCUGAGGCUCACAUUCUGCAGAUUCAGCUUGUUAAGACAGGAGAAAAGGACCGAACCCCUCAUCCGUGAGAGCAAAAAGCACAACAAAGGAAAAGGCACUGGCAAUGCUAAAGUCAUUCUGAGGAAUCUUGGGGGACCCCCAGGGAGGACUGGAUGAAUCAAAAACUCAGCUACUUACCUUGAGAGGUUUAUUAAUGAUGGUGAAUACAACCCUUUGGGCGGGCCGGUCUGCCAGUUAACCUGGAUGGCGACUGAACUCGCUGAGAAGCCAUCUCCCAUGUUGUGUAACACAAUUCAGAGCUUUUGGAAUCAACCUCUUCUAGAACUGCCAGUAUGAGUCUUGGGAACUAGUUGGAGAAUUAGGUAAAAAGCUUAAAACAUCCCCAAGUUAAGAGCCUCUCAAUGUCUAUGGAUGACAACAACAUGAUUUAUAAAAUGUUCUACAGCUAUUCUGAAGUGCUUUAUGGAGAAACUGAUUCAGGAACUUGUCCAGAUUCUUUACUGCAGAUAUUCAAUGCCACACUGUAAACAGGUCUGCUCUCCCAGGACGGUGUUCAAAGAUGGGACAGGGACUUCCCUGAUGGUUCAGUGGUUAAGAAUCUGCCUUCCAAUGCAGGGGACGCAGGUUUGAUCCCUGGUCUGGGCACUAAGAUCCCGCAUCCCACAGGUUAACUAAGCCCAUACACCCUCAACCAUGCACCACAACUAGAGAGAAGCCCACACAAUGUAACGAAGACCCUGGUGCUGGAACAAAUACCAAACAUAGGCAAAUAAAUAAAUAAGAUGGGACACAGUAAGUAGGCAGAAAUGUUGGACACUACUUAGAACAGAUAUACUCUAUUUCAUCCCAGUGCUGGCUUUAACCUUGCCCUUCUCCACCUGGUAGCUCUCAGUCCUUAUUUCAUAUUCUAUUUUUCAUUUUUUCUUUCAGUUAGCAUAUACUGUGCCUGUAAUACAUCUCAGCAUGAGAAGCAUUUGAACUUUUUUCCUCAUCCAUCCCCCUGUAAUAAAUCCCCAAUGAGACACUGUAGCUUGCUAAUUUAAUUUUUAAACUGAAAAGAGAAAUAAAAGGGAAUCAUAGACAUCUAAUCUCUUCUGAUUCUGGGUCUCCCAGCUUCUAUCAUGAGCUAAAGUGGGAACGUGGCAGGGACUGGUUGGAAAUGCCAAAUGCCGAAGUUUUUAGAUACUGAGGCCAAGUGUGGGACAAGUGCACAAAGUCUGAGAAGCCAGAACAGAGGAACAAAUAUUUGCAGAGAUUACAUCUCUUACUGAUACUAGAGGAAAGCCAGUACAUCUGCUCUCUUCGUGGGGCAGAGGAGUCGGCAGAACAGGAUCGAGGAGCUACCAAAUCCAUCAAGGCGGUCUCACUUCUGAAUCACUGGACUGUGUGGUAAUUUGGAGCUCCUUAUAAAUGGGUGGGAAUCAUGCUGAGGAAGACCUGAAGAUGGAGAAGGUCAAGUGGGAACAAUUGGGUUGAGUUUCCUGUUUUUUAGUCCUUUAGCUAAAAAAGAUCAGAAGUUUGGAAGUAACAGGUGAGGUUCGCCCUGAGUCCUGGGCUCCUUUCGGACCACAGCCCUUAAGGAGACAGUUUGUAUGUUUCUGGUUUCUCCUCUCUCCAGUCCACCCUGCUACGAACC
ensembl:lncRNA